GAUGAAGAACGUAGCUAAAUGCGAUAAGUAAUGUGAAUUGCAGAAUUCAGUGAAUCAUCGAAUCUUUGAACGCACAUUGCGCCCGCCAGCAUUCUGGCGGGCAUGCCUGUUCGAGCGUCAUUUCAACCCUCGAGCCCCCCCGGGGGCCUCGGUGUUGGGGGACGGCACACCAGCCGCCCCCGAAAUGCAGUGGCGACCCCGCCGCAGCCUCCCCUGCGUAGUAGCACACACCUCGCACCGGAGCGCGGAGGCGGUCACGCCGUAAAACGCCCAACUUCUGAAUGUUGACCUCGAAUCAGGUAGGAAUACCCGCUGAACUUAAGCAUAUCAAUAAGCGGAGGA
rnacentral:misc_RNA from 1 species